AGAGUUUGAUCCUGGCUCAGGACGAACGCUGGCGGCGUGCUUAACACAUGCAAGUCGAACGGAAAGGCCCUUCGGGGUACUCGAGUGGCGAACGGGUGAGUAACACGUGGGUGAUCUGCCCUGCACUUUGGGAUAAGCCUGGGAAACUGGGUCUAAUACCGAAUAGGACCACGCGCUUCAUGGUGUGUGGUGGAAAGCUUUUGCGGUGUGGGAUGGGCCCGCGGCCUAUCAGCUUGUUGGUGGGGUAAUGGCCUACCAAGGCGACGACGGGUAGCCGGCCUGAGAGGGUGACCGGCCACACUGGGACUGAGAUACGGCCCAGACUCCUACGGGAGGCAGCAGUGGGGAAUAUUGCACAAUGGGCGCAAGCCUGAUGCAGCGACGCCGCGUGAGGGAUGACGGCCUUCGGGUUGUAAACCUCUUUCACCAGGGACGAAGCGCAAGUGACGGUACCUAUAGAAGAAGCACCGGCCAACUACGUGCCAGCAGCCGCGGUAAUACGUAGGGUGCGAGCGUUGUCCGGAAUUACUGGGCGUAAAGAGCUCGUAGGUGGUUUGUCGCGUUGUUCGUGAAAACUCACAGCUUAACUGUGGGCGUGCGGGCGAUACGGGCAGACUAGAGUACUGCAGGGGAGACUGGAAUUCCUGGUGUAGCGGUGGAAUGCGCAGAUAUCAGGAGGAACACCGGUGGCGAAGGCGGGUCUCUGGGCAGUAACUGACGCUGAGGAGCGAAAGCGUGGGGAGCGAACAGGAUUAGAUACCCUGGUAGUCCAA
rnacentral:rRNA from 1 species